ACUAGCUUGAAACGACGUCGUCCCCAGCUGAAGUGGAAAUGGCGCCGUAAGGCGGUAGAUAUUUAACGGUGCUGUCGAGCUGAAAACGGUAAAAGGGGGAAGAUUCUCUGGGGGGAGUGGUGAAACGCGAGGAAUAAUCGGGUUAUCAAGGACAAUAAACGGUGAUCGGAAUAAUAAGGCCGGUGUCAUGUCGGAAAAGGGAGUCCCAGUGACGGAUAAUAUGGAGAUUGAAAAAGAUGAUCGGGAAUUUGGGGGAGACAACUCCUUGGAGCUUCAGCAGCAAUCCCCUAAAAAAGGAGGACCGCCGAAGAAGCGUAGUGAUCCGGCCGAGAAGGACGCGGGUUUCGAGGAAAAUUCGGAGUCCGGAAAAGAGAAUAGUGAAGAAAUUGGAGCUGUAGCUGUAGCAGCAGAGGAGAAAAUGUCCGGUAUGAGUCACCAGAAAAUAAAACAAAUUCCAGUGGAUGGCGGUGAAGAGGGAAUUGGAAUGGGGGCUGAAAUUGAAGGGGAAAACGGGGGUUCAGUGAAUAAGAAGAAUAAGUCCGGUGAAUUUAUACCAGAUGAAAAUGGUGAAGCGGGAGCAGGAAUAAAGGUUGAGAAAGAAGUGGAAAGUGGGGAUUCAGUGAAGAAGAAUAAGCUCUGUAAUGCUAAAACACAGGAAAAUGACAGUCAAGGUCAUGAUCGGGAAGAGGAGCUAAUGAAUACGGAGAAUGAGGAAGAAUUGGGUGGAAAUCAACAAGAGGAUGAGGGUUCUGCAGAGCUAAUGAACAUUGAAAAGGGAAAGGCCGCAGGUGGUGAAGAAGAGGAGGAGAAUGAAGGUUGCAAAUCUCAUGCAAGGGCAUUUCCAAGGAGGCAGUCAAGUCAGAAGGCGAUUGAGAAGAUUGGGGAACUCAAGGAACAAAUGAUGGAGUGGGAUGAAGCAGACAAAGAGGUCAGUAGGAAUAGGGGUAGGAAGAAGAAGAUAUUGGACAAUGAGGGCCAUGCUGAAGACAAAAGGAGGAAGCGAGGGAAAAGGGGUAAAGAUGAAGAAAGAAGAGGAGAAGAAGAUGGCGAAGAAGAGAAAGUAAAGGAAAUUACAGAGAGUUCACGGACACUUAGACCUAGGAAAGUUAAGGAUGAGGGUGACUAUUCUGUGCCAAGGAUCAGAAACAGGAGGGAUGAGAAUGGUAAUAAAGUUGAAUCAAACAUGUGCCACCAAUGCCAAAGGAAUGAUAAAGGACCUGUUGUGCGCUGCACCAGCUGUAAGACGAAGAGAUAUUGUGGGACUUGCAUGAGAACAUGGUAUCCUGGUAUGCCAGAGGAGGCCUUUGCAGAAAAGUGUCCUGUUUGUCUCGAGAACUGCAAUUGCAAAGCGUGUCUCCGAUUAGAUGGUCCUAUAAGGAAACUGAAGAAACUAAAAUUUGAAGUCAGCAAUGAGGAGAAGAUACAGUACUCUAAAUAUAUCUUGCAAGUGCUUCUACCUCUGUUGAGGCGAUUCAGUGCAGAGCAAAUGAUGGAGAAGGAGAUUGAAACCAAGAUUCAAGGGGUAAGACUUUCCGAGUUAAAGCUACAGAAAGCAAAGUGCCAGCUGAAUGAGAGGGUGUAUUGUGACAACUGCAGAACAUCAAUUUUUGAUUUUCACAGAAGCUGUUCAAACUGUUCCUAUGACCUUUGCCUUACUUGUUGCCAAGAGCUCAGGGAUGGCCAUCUGCGGGGCAAUGUAGAAGAAAUUGUCAUGGAAUAUAUUGACCGUGGGCUGGAUUACUUGCAUGGUAAAGCGAGUGAAAGUACUACUAUGGAAACAAACACCAAGGAAUUUGUUGAAACAAACUCCCUUGAAGAUUCUAAGUCAGCAUCUGAAGUGAAAUCCACCUCUCCAACAAAAAGCCUUGAAUCCCUUGUUGGCUGCUGUCAUGAAUGGAGAUCUGAAGAAAAUGGUAGAAUUUUUUGCCCACCAGAGAAUAUGCGUGGUUGUAAUAAGGGAACUUUAGAAUUAAAGCAUCUUUUGGGGGAGUGUUAUGUCACUGAGCUGUUAGCCAAAGCGGAAGAAAUAGCAAAGUCAUGCAAAUUAAAUGAUAUGCCUGAAAGUUCUCAGCGGUUGUGCUCUUGUUCAAAAUCAGUAGAUGAAAAUGCUAUUGAUAAAAAUAAGUUACGGAAAGCAGCUACUAGGGAGGAUUCUAAUGACAAUUAUCUGUACUGCCCAGCCGCUAAAGACAUUCAACACAAGGAUCUGAAACAUUUUCGAUGGCAUUGGCUUGAGGGUGAGCCUGUUAUUGUCAGUAAUGUGCUGGAAACUACUUCAGGAUUGAGCUGGGAACCCAUGGUUAUGUGGCGUGCUUUUCGUCAGAUAAAACAUCUAAACCAUUCACGUCAUUUAGAUGUGAAUGCUCUUAACUGCUUGGACUGGUGUGAGGUUGAAGUCAAUAUCCACAAGUUUUUUGAAUGGUAUAAGAAUGGUACAACUGAUAUUUAUGGAUGGCCUCUUAUUCUCAAGUUGAAAGACUGGCCUCCAUCAGAUUUAUUUGAGGAGCGAUUACCUCGUCAUGGUGCUGAGUUUAAAAACAGCCUGCCUUUCAAGGCAUAUACAGAUCCUCAAAAUGGCUACCUAAAUCUUGCUACUAAGUUGCCAGAGAAGUCCUUAAAACCAGAUAUGGGUCCCAAAACAUAUAUAGCUUAUGGUGUUCCACUGGAGCUGGGGCGUGGAGACUCUGUAACUAAGCUGCACUGCGAUAUGUCUGAUGCGGUGAAUGUCUUGACACAUACUCAAGGUAUAAACCUAGAAUCCAAGCAACUUUCAAAGAUUGAAGAAUUGAAGGGGUAUCAUGCUGUCCAGGACAAGAAGGAACAGCAGAUGAUUCAUAAGCUGGACAAAUGUGAGGAUGGACUUCAUGAAUUGAAUGAGGAAUAUUCUCAACAAGAUUCUUUGGUGAACCCAAAUUCUGUUGAUCAAGGGGAUGAGAAAUCUUCCACUUCUUUUAUGCUAGAGAGUAAUGAUAUGUGCAUGGGAAUAUUGGGUACAGAGAAUGUGAGUAGGUCUUCUGAAACAGGGGCAAGUAGUCAGGAGAAUGAAAAUGAAAGUCACAAUUUUAAUGGGUCUCAGUUAUUCUCUGAUGUGUUUGAAGAAACUGGUGGUGCUCUCUGGGACAUCUUUAGGAGGGAAGAUAUCCCUAAGUUGGAAGAAUAUCUCAAGAAGCACUUUAAGGAGUUUAGGCAUACUUAUUGCUCCCCAGUACCAAAGGUUGUUCAUCCUAUUCAUGACCAAACAUUUUACUUGACUGUGGAGCAUAAAAGGAGGCUCAAGGAAGAAUAUGGAAUUGAACCAUGGACCUUUGUUCAAAAGUUGGGGGAUGCUGUCUUUAUUCCAGCAGGCUGUCCUCAUCAAGUCAGAAACUUGAAGUCAUGUAUAAAAGUUGCUCUUGACUUUGUUUCUCCUGAAAAUGUUCCUGAGUGUGUGCGGUUGACUGAAGAAUUCCGAACUCUUCCCCAAAAUCACAGGGCCAAGGAAGAUAAACUGGAGGUGAAGAAAAUGGUCAUUUAUGCGGUGCAUGAAGCUGUGGAGGAUUUGGAGAAGUUAAAUUCUGUUGUAUCAGUUUCACUUAGGUCCUUGGAUAAAUAGCAGUGGAAGUGUUUUAUGCUCUGUCCUGUUAUAUAAGAUUGAUUAUUGUCUGUACUGAUUGAAAGGAGAGAAGAGAGAUUGUCUGAAUGACACUGGAGGGAAUGUAUGUGACUGCCCAACUUAUCUGCAGUAGAACAUGUGCUCAUAUUUACUUGGCCUCUGGAAGAUGUUUGUUGUCUGUAAUGAUACCAUAACAGCAAAUGAUCCUUGUUCCUAUGCUUAUCAUAUGGUAAAACUCUACCCAAUGGUUGUGGCUGUUGAUAAAGUUGCCAGAUUUUGAUUGAGAAAGGGUGGAGAAUGUGGAAAGUAGCUGUUGCUUCUCAUCAAUUCAUGGCUUAUUCACUGUUCUAACUUCUAACAACAGCUCCAACAGUUGAUCCAACUCCUGUUGGUUAUUCAUAGUCAUAGAUAUAGAUUGAUAUUAUUAUGUUAAACACAUUUUAUAAGUGUUUAGAUUAUAUGACUUUAUACUUUGGCUCCUCCCAACUCGGGUUACAGACUUACAGGUCUCUUAUGAAUUUUCAUUUCUGAUUGGUGAUUGAUGCAAUAGGAGUUGUUUGGUCUAAUUUUUA